rnacentral:lncRNA from 1 species
GCCUCAUUAGCAAUCAUAUCACAUCUCUUCGUUUUUUUUAUUAUAUACUCGACUAAAAAAUAUGCAUGAUUAGCAACAAAUUAAGACGAAUAAUUAUGUCCUCUUUCCUUCUUCAUUCCUCAUCUAGAUCUAUAGAUUUAAACUGACUACUAGCCCAAUCAUAAGUGUCGAAAGUAGCAUCAACCACCAAUGAGCAAAAUCCCUUUCCUAGAAUUUCAAAUAGUUUUCCCUCAACUGUUAUUAUAUUCAUCCAACUUAUCGUCCUACAGAGAUGUCCUACUAUAAAAACGUUUAUAACACAGCUCACUUUUUAAUACAUCUUCAUUCAUAAAUUUAUUAAUGUCAUUUAGACCAAACGGCGCCAUGUUUGUGUUGUGCCUCUGCCGUCUAAACCACCUAUUUAAAAAGAAGAGGUGGAAGAGAGCCAGAAGAUCUUCUCAAUGCAAAAAAAAAAAAAAAAAUGAAAUAAACCCCAUCUGGCUAACUACCGAAUAAGAAAAAAAAAAACACGCCCAAGCAUAGUCUAUCAAGAUUUACGUCGAGUGCACCGAGACUGGCGUGGUUCCACCACACAACCUCAGCGUUGUCUGGCUAGUCAUUAAUUAGAUGAACUACUUUGACCAUUCGCCAAACGAGACCCCUCCUAUUGAUUUAAGAUUGUAUAUAACUAUUAAUAUCAGAACC